rnacentral:rRNA from 1 species
GACGAACGCUGGCGGCGUGCUUAACACAUGCAAGUCGAACGAAGUGGCGAACGGGUGAGUAAUACGUGAGUAACCUGCCCUCCUUUUUGGGAUAAGCCUUGGCAACGGGGUCUAAUACCGAAUCAAGGGGGAUGGGCUCGCGGACUAUCAGCUUGUUGGUGGGGUGAUGGCCUACCAAGGCGGUGACGGGUAGCCGUCCUGAGCGGGUGAGCGGCAACAUUGGGACUGAGAUACGGCCCAGAAUCCUACGGGAGGCAGCAGGGGGGGAUAGUGAACAAGGGGCGAAAGCCUGAUGCGGAGACGCCGCGUGGGGGAUGAAGGCUUUCGGGUUGUAAACCUCUUUCGCGAGCGAACGGGUAGGUGGAGAAGAAGCGCCGGCUAACUACGUGCCAGCAGCCGCGGUAAUUC